UACGUAGGGUGCAGGCGUUAAUCGGAAUUACUGGGCGUAAAGCGUGCGCAGGCGGUUUGCUAAGACAGGUGUGAAAUCCCCGGGCUUAACCUGGGAACUGCGCUUGUUACUGGCAGGCUUGAGUGUGGCAGAGGGGGGUGGAAUUCCACGUGUAGCAGUGAAAUGCGUUGAGAUGUGGAGGAACACCGAUGGCGAAGGCAGCCCCCUGGGCUAACACUGACGCUCAUGCACGAAAGCGUGGGGAGCAAACAGG
rnacentral:rRNA from 1 species